rnacentral:rRNA from 1 species
UGUAAUUUGUAGAGGAUGCUUUUGGUGCGGUACCUUCCGAGUUCCUUGGAACAGGACGCCUUAGAGGGUGAGAGCCCCGUACGGUUGGAUACCAAGCCUUUGUAAAGCUCCUUCGACGAGUCGAGUAGUUUGGGAAUGCUGCUCUAAAUGGGAGGUAAAUUUCUUCUAAAGCUAAAUACCGGCCAGAGACCGAUAGCGCACAAGUAGAGUGAUCGAAAGAUGAAAAGUACUUUGAAAAGAGGGUUAAAUAGCACGUGAAAUUGUUGAAAGGGAAGCGUUUAUGACCAGACCUUUGUCGGGCGGAUCAUCCGGUGUUCUUCACCGGUGCACUUCGCCUGGCUCAGGCCAGCAUCGAUUUCUGUAGGGGGAUAAAGGCUUAGGGAACGUAGCUCUCUUCGGGGAGUGUUAUAGCCCUGGGUGUAAUACCUUUACGGGGAUCGAGGUUCGCGCUUCUGCAAGGAUGCUGGCGUAAUGGUCAUCAAUGACCCGUCUUGAAACACGGACCAAGGAGUCGAACAUUUAUGCAAGUGUUUGGGUGUUAAACCCUCACGCGUAAUUAAAGUGAACGGAGGUGAGAGCCUUGUAUUAGGUGCAUCAUCGACCGAUCCUGAUGUAUUCGGAAGGAUUUGG